GCGGCCAUGCUGAAACUGGUAGACAGGCUUGGUUGAGGGCCAAGUGGGGGUUUCCCCAUGAGAGUUCGAGUCUCUCUGGCCGCACCA
rnacentral:tRNA from 1 species